rnacentral:misc_RNA from 1 species
UAAAAAUAACACCAAACUAAAGUCCAAGCCCAUUACAAACUAAGGCCCAGAAGCAGAAAAAUCUCAAAUCUACUAACCCGACCCAUCGCUUGUUGCAACUUACAAUAGUCCCACAUCAAACAACUCAACCUAGAUGAUCCAGAUCCGGAUCUUAUCUUCCUCACACGAGCUUAGAGCCCUCGCUGCCGCCUACAGCACCAACAUAACAGACGACCCAACGUUAAGGUCCAUUGCAACCACACCAAGGAUGCCUCACACCACUAGAUAACGUGCCAACCAAUGCUCAAACGAGGCCACAGAAGCAGAUACCCAAAAUAAAGACAAUGUCCUAGAGUUCCUCAUUCGCUUUAGCAAGGACCCAACUCAACUAGAUUAGGGGUGUUAUGGUAGAGAUCUUCAGCACCAGUCAUCAAGGAAUAAGAGGCUAACAAAUAGUAGAAGAGAGUCCCUAGAGAUGCCAUAUCCACUAAAAUAGA